AUGAAGGGUCCCGCCAGUUCCUGGGCUGGGACCCUUCUACACCCCUAGGAGACAGGUGAGUUUCCACCUGCAGCCAUCAUGCCAGGUGCCGAGUAAAUUACCCCAUGGUCAAAGAAACCAACAUUCUUCUGUUUGCACCAACCUCUACGCCAUUUACUUAUGAGGGGGGUUUCCUGACCUUCUCUGUACCCUUCCCUGCCACUGAAGGGACAGGAGAAAAUGUAGGUGUAGUGCUUCUCAGAUGUGCUCCAGCCCACUGAAGACUCCCUCAGCAAGCACAUUCUCAGGGCGCACACACUGGCCAUUCACUCCUCACCCCUUCUCCCCUGCCACUACUCAAAUGCCCGUGCUGUCCAACUGGACAAGAAGCGCUUUGGAACCAGCACGUGUGGUCUGUUUGUUUCGACAGUUCAGCAGCACCUGAAGUUUUGCUGGCAUAGUUGGGCAUCUGGAAUGGGCCCAACAAUAAAGAUGUUAAAUAGAAGCAAUCGCUUCCAGGCAUCUUUUUCCAGGCUUGGCAUUUCCUGAUCAUCACCUGCCAGCCUGGAGUCAGCAGGUAACGGGGAGAGCAGUGCUGUCUUAUCACAAGCCGUGGGACUGUGCAGCAGGGCAUGAGCCUCACUCCGCGUGACGUCGGGGUGUGAGAACCCUUCUUUGUCUUCUGUCUCAAAGCUUGCUUCCCGAGGAUAUUUCUUGUGAUAAGACUCUAACUCAUUUAUGGAGGUGGUAAAUGAUGGGUGCUACCGUGUGACAAUCAACAUCACUUUGACAUUUGAAAGCAUCUUCCUCCAGAGCUGCUUGCCUCCGGAAGAGAGUGCUCAGGAGUGGUUACUGGAGGAAGAUCUGGCCUGUGACUAAACAGCCCCAGCUUGGUGUGGGAAAACUGGGGAACGAUACCAUCGUGCCCGGUGAAAAACAGGAUGCAGAUGGGCAUCCCUGCUCCCUCUUAUCUGCUGGCAAGGCCCGCAAGAUGGUAACAAAGCAGUUUCUGCUGAGAUCCCAGAGCCAGUAGCUGCCACUCCAAGGAGAGCUGACUCAACCGCUUUGGAUUCAAGCUGUCACUCAGAAGAGAGCUGACUCAACACUGUGCCAUGGAAGUCAGACUCGGGUAACGAGUGGUCAUGGAAAAGGGGCAGAGCUCCUCCAAAGGACUGUCAAGGAAAAGGGAGAUGGCUUUGUACCUUGCAGUCAUUCCUGCCCUUGUCCUUAAGCCUUCAUCAAGACUUUCCAUGCAGGAAACAACGGUCAGGAAUUCCACAAAGCUCGCAAUAAAUCAUCUCCAUAGACACCAGGGGUCCUCCCUUGGACCGCCCACUCAACUAUCGCUGGGCUGAACAAGCUACUGGGGUUUACAAAAGAAGCAUGCUCAAGUCAGAGCUCUACAGAGACACUGAAGGACACCACAGCCAUAGGGAACAGAACCAGGUCAACUGCCUUCCAAUCUUUAGUUUGCCUAUCAAGGAGGAGAAGCGUGGUGAAGAAUGGGGAAGCAGGCAGUAUCUGUACAGUUCAGAAGAACACUACACUCGGUCAGGACCGAGAGUGGCUAAGGCGUGAGGACAAGCUGCCUCUGUGCUGAGGGCCCUUUGUGCAACAAAAGGACAGUCCACCGUGACAGUGAACAGCUUUUGCAGCUCCAGUCAGCAGGGGGAAGGAUCCAACGAGGUCAGCACACCUCCUGCCAAGCAGCCUGCUUGGGUGUGUCUCUACAGAGUCUCUGUAGAGACUCACCCGAGGACGCCAGAACCAUGCUGAACAGCACCAGGGCAAGCACAAAUGCUUGGUACUGUCAGCUGAAUGACUGUCUGCAGUGGCCUCUUAGCUCCCUGGGAAACCCUGGGAGCUCAGUUCUCUUUUGGGCUUUGUGGAGAGAGUGUUCACUGAUGUCCCUUGCCCUCCUUUGCAUUAAAUGAAGCUGCUGCUGGAUCUUCCUGAGCUCUUUUUCCAGGCUCGGCAUUUCCCGAUCAUCACCUGUCAGCCUGGAGACAGCAGGUAAGGGGGAGAGCACCGCUGUCUUAUCACACACCGUGGGCCUGUGCAGCAGGGGACGAGCCUCACUCUGCGUGACAAUGGGGUAGCCAUGACAUAAACACAGGAAAUACCUGUCAGGAAUUGCACAUAGCUCUCUAUGCACCAAGCAUUAACACUCGGGGUUCUUCCUUGUGCUGCCCACUCCCCUGUCCCUGGGCAGAAAAAUCCCCUGGGUCCUUCCUAAGGAAGCAUGCUCAAAUCAGAGCUCUACAGAGACUCAGGCAAGGACACCACAGCCACAGGAGCAGCACCAGGUCAACUAUCUUGCAAACAGUAGUUUGCAACGACACAGCCAUUUCCAUUUCUGUCCUUCCACGGGGGCAACUGACAUUGAUGCUGGUGCCUUCUGUGAUCAGUCAGGUUCGGCUUGGAGACUUCUCCCUCUGGCUCGAAUCUCAGCUCAGAAACUCUCUCUGUCCAGAACAGUAUUGUAGAGAGCUUGAUAAGCACGAGCUGCGCCCCAAAUAAGCCCUCCUCAGGUCUACCUAAGCCGCACCACCCCUGACUUAAAUACUUGCUUCGUUUCUCGGGGUCCCACAGGUGUUCAAGAGUAAAAUCCCAUGGCACUGGGGGUCCCCACGCUUCUUAGAUCUUUCCUAAACCUCCCGAUAUUCCCUGCCACUCAGCAUUCUCUGGUUCUGGGGAAGGCUUCCUGCAGAUAAGGUCAAUGAGGAGGAUUACAUUCAGGGGGAUGAAGAACAUGACUGCUGCCUGGUGAGUAUCGCCCUCACGUCUGUCUCGCAGAGAGUUACACCUCGAGUCUGUCUCCUGCUCACACUCUGAUACUCCCUAACCUCUCAACCUCCUCCUGGAGUGCAGCCACCACACUGAGCAGAUCAUCCACCUGCUCGCACCUCACGCACCUGCAGUUCCCGCCUCCCUUCUCCGGCACCAACAGACUCAGGCACUCGCUGCAGCCGCAGACUUGACCUGCCACUUCUUCAGGCAGGGACUCUCAAUCACCACCGUAUUUCUCACCGGGCCUUUCUGCCUGCUGCAGACCAUGGGGAGACACGUUGUCCGGGAGGCAACCGACAGGUAAGAGGCCUACUGCUGGGCAGAGAUCCUAGGCCCCGCGUAAGCCGCCGCGCCGCCCCGCGUCCUGCACGCUCGCCCUGCUCGCCGCGCUCCGUAGUGGCAGGUUUUAGACACGCAGGGGGUGGUCCGCCGCUGCUCCUGGCUCCGCCGCCUCGGCGUAAGAUCACCGCUGCCACGCGGAGGACGAUGGCGCCCGGCGGUGCUCCGUGACAGGGCGACCCCUCAAGCCGAGGCGAUUCCCUGCUGCAGUGCGGAAUGCGUCCGCUCCGAGCCGAGUACCUCGCCAAAAGGAAUCGCAGAAUGGUAUGGCUCGGAAGGGAGCUCUGAAGACCAUUUCGUCCACAGCCCUGCUAAAGCGGGUUCCCUGCAGCGGGCUGCCCAGCAAAGCGUCCAGGCGGGCUUUGAAUAUCCCCACAGAAGGAGACUCCGCACCCUCUCUGGGCAGCCCGGCCCGCUGUCUGACACCCUCACAGGCAAGACAUAUUUCCUCAUGUUCGCAUGGAAUUUCCUGUGUUCCAAAGUGUGCCCGUUGCCCCUUAAUUCUGUCUCUGGGCACCAGCGAAAAGAGCUGGCCCCAUCCACUCGACUACCGCCCAUUAGAUAUCUAUAAGCACUGGUAAGAUCCCUUCUCAGCCUUCUCUUCUCCAGGCUGAACAGUCCCAGCCCUCUCAGCCUUUCCUCAUAAGGGAGAUGCUCCACGCCCCUCCCCAUCCUUGUGGCCCUCGGCUGCACCCUCUCUAGGAGUUCCCCGUCUUUCUUGAGCUGAGGAGCCCAGAGUGGGACACCGCACUCCAGAUGCGGCCUCAGCAGGGCAGAGGAGAGGGGGAGGAUCACCUCCCUCGACCUGCCGGC
rnacentral:lncRNA from 1 species